AAAGUCUUUCAGAGGCCGGACGCUGGCACUGGACGGAGUAGGGAACCCUAGCCGUUAUCCCACCAAAGGGUCCCAGCGCCUAGAGGGGCUGCGGAAAGCUCCUACAAUACGAGGAGCCCUUGGAGCCCAGAGCGGGAUCCUGCGAGCCGAGGCCCCGUUCUCUGUUAGGAUCACGGGGACUGCCCCAGGCAGCUGCUGGGCCCGGUCGCGGACCUCGGCCAGAACAUCCUCCCAGAACACAGAGGAAUCUGACAUCAGUGGCCUCCCUUGGUAGAGGUGGGGAGCCGAGGGGCGGCAGUGUGGAAGGGCCAUCGGCCUAGGUCUUUCGUAUCCCCUCCGGCCUCUCGGGGCUGUGCGUUCGGAAACAGCGAAAGGAACGGCCUCAGGAAUCUGGCCUCAGCCGGAGCACUGGUGAACACAGGCUCCCGUCGCGCCAAGGGAAGUAGGAAAAGCUGCUUCCGGGCGGAGGGGCUGCACUUCCGGGGCCCGCGUCCCCCGGCGGCUUCGCCGAGAAGGGGCUUUGGGAGCUUAAGGGCGCCGGCACGCGUUCCCCUGGCGCAGAGCUCGCUAGCCGGGGCGCGGGCUGCCUCCUUGUUCUGGUGUGAUCCGAAUGUAACGGAGCGGACUUUGGGAUCCAGAACCCCGGACUGAGGUUGUGCUUGGCUUGAGGGGCGGGCUGGUAGGUCAGCCCCCUUGGGGCGUCGUUGGUCCUCUCCAGGCGUGUCACAUUCUGCCCGCACAUGGUGCCUUGGUACUCCCCAAAAGUCAUGCCUUGAUUUUUCUUACUAAUAAUAGUUUACACUGUUUUACCGCUUCACUGCUUCACCUGCAGUUCCUGAUACUGGUUUUUCUACAUGCUUCAGCCAAAGACAUAUACUCUUUGAUCCCUGAGAACACUAUUUCCUCAGUGUCUUUGCACAUGGAGUUCACUUCUCUGCUUGUGAAGUCUAUGAAUAUUGCAUGGCUGAUUUGUCACAAUUUUAAGUCUUCAACAUCUGGAGUGUUCUGGCAAGAAUUUGUAGGAAAAAUUUUUGAAUCAUCAGAUUACCAUAGCACAACCUUGGAGAAUAAAACUCUUUUGCUCUGAAGCUCAUCUAAUAACCUGAUAUCUCUCAAAUGAAUCUAUCCAAUGACAGGGAAUACCCCAUGUUAAACAGCUGAUUCUUGUUCUGAAUACGUUUAUUAUCUUGUAGUUAGUAAAUAAAUCAAUUGGACCCUUAAGACUUUGCUUAGAGUGAAUCUGUCUCCCAGAGCUUGAUCACAUUUGAAUGUACAGACAAAAACUAACAAAAGUGAGAUCCAUCUGGGGAUGAGGUAUUGGGAUUCUGUAAGAUCCUGCCUGAAACAGCC
rnacentral:lncRNA from 1 species